rnacentral:lncRNA from 1 species
GGUAUUGUUUCUAUUUUCUUUCUUCUGUUAUAUGUAUUUUAAUAUUUAUAAUCAGUAAGAUUAUGCUAAAUUACAUUUAAAAUUUAGGACUUUUAAACAUUCACAAAUGUUCCUGGGUAGCAUUUUACCAGGAUUUUUCAACAUGUGCCUUUUUUGUUUGUUUUAUUUUAUCUUUUUGAGACAGGGUUUCUCGAUUUAGCUCUGGCCGUUUUGGAAAUUGCUCUUAUAGACCAGGGCCUCACAAUCACAGAAGUCUGCCUGCCUCUGCCUACUGAGCGCUGGGACUAAAGGUGUGCGCCACCACUGCCCAGAUCCACGUGCUUUUUAACUGAAAUGUUUUGUUAGCUGAUAAAGUUGAAUAUAAUCUAAAUUUGUAGAAAUUUAGAAUGCUCAAUAAAUACUUCUUGGGAAUAAGGCUUAUGCCAGGCACCACUUAUGCUGGGGUUGGUGGUGCACACUUUAAAUUCCAGCACUUUGGAAAGAGACUGAACAGAUCAUUGUGAGUUCAAGGCCAACCUGGUCUAUGUAGCAAGUUCUAGGCCAGAUAGGCUUAUAGAGUAAGAACAUUUAAAUAGCUCAAGUAAAUAUAGAUACAUAGUUUUACAGUAUGAUUUGAUGUGUGUUAAAGUAUUUACAUUUUUAUCCCAUUAAGUCUUGAAAAAGUUUCAUUAAUUAGUCUUAAUUUCAAGUUGGGCCAUUUUGGGAAACUCAAAAGAAAUUGACACAUUUUGCCUAAUAUACUAGUAACUUUAAUUUUUGGAAGUUAGUAUACCCAGAAUGGUGGUACACACCUUUAAACCCAGCAUUUGAGAUACAUAGGCACAUGGAUCUUUACCAGUUUCAGACCAGCCUGGUAUACAUAGUGAGUUCCAGGCCAGCCAGAGCUACAUAAGAUUCUAUCUCACAUGUUGCCUCUAAAAAAGACCAGUGACUAGUCUAAGAGUAGCUGGAUAUUGUGAUACAUACUUACUAUUCAGGAGGCCAAAGCAGGGACAUUGCAAAUUUGAGGCCUGUCUAAAUUACAAAGCCAAAUUGAAGACUGAGCUAUCAAAUAUGAAAAAUACUCUGUUUC